rnacentral:rRNA from 1 species
AUUGAACGCUGGCGGCAGGCCUAACACAUGCAAGUCGAGCGAGCGGCGGACGGGUGAGUAAUGUCUGGGAAACUGCCUGAUGGAGGGGGAUAACUACUGGAAACGGUAGCUAAUACCGCAUACCAUCAGAUGUGGCCAGAGGGGAUGAGCUAGUAGGUGGGGUACUGGCUCACCUAGGCGACGAACCAUUGCUGGUCUGAGAGGAUGAUCAGCCACACUGGAACUGCGACACGGUCCAGACUCCGACGAGAGGCAGCAGUGGGGAAGAUUGCACAAUGGGCGCAAGCCUGAUGCAGCCAUGCCGCUUGUGUGAAGAAGGCCUUCGGGUUUUAAAGCACGUUCAGCGGGGAGGCGUUACCCGCAGAAGAAGCACCGGCUAACUCCGUGCCAGCAGCCGCGGUAAUAC